rnacentral:rRNA from 1 species
GACGAACGCUGGCGGCGUGCUUAACACAUGCAAGUCGAACGGAAAGGCCCUGCUUUUGUGGGGUGCUCGAGUGGCGAACGUGUGAGUAACACGUGAGUAACCUGCCCUUGACUUUGGGAUAACUUCAGGAAACUGGGGCUAAUACCGGAUAGGAGCUCCUGCUGCAUGGUGGGGGUUGGAAAGUUUCGGCGGUUGGGGAUGGACUCGCGGCUUAUCAGCUUGUCGGUGGGGUAGUGGCUUACCAAGGCUUUGACGGGUAGCCGGCCUGAGAGGGUGACCGGCCACAUUGGGACUGAGAUACGGCCCAGACUCCUACGGGAGGCAGCAGUGGGGAAUAUUGCACAAUGGGCGGAAGCCUGAUGCAGCAACGCCGCGUGCGGGAUGACGGCCUUCGGGUUGUAAACCGCUUUCGCCUGUGACGAAGCGUGAGUGACGGUAAUGGGUAAAGAAGCACCGGCUAACUACGUG